CGCAACGCGAAGAACUUUACCAAGGCUUGACAUACACCGGAAAGGUUUGGAGACAGGGGCCCCCUUGUGGUCGGUGUACAGGUGGUGCAUGGCUGUCGUCAGCUCGUGUCGUGAGAUGUUGGGUUAAGUCCCGCAACGAGCGCAACCCUUGUCCCGUGUUGCCAGCAGGCCCUUGUGGUGCUGGGGACUCACGGGAGACCGCCGGGGUCAACUCGGAGGAAGGUGGGGACGACGUCAAGUCAUCAUGCCCCUUAUGUCUUGGGCUGCACACGUGCUACAAUGGCCGGUACAAUGAGCUGCGAUACCGCGAGGUGGAGCGAAUCUCAAAAAGCCGGUCUCAGUUCGGAUUGGGGUCUGCAACUCGACCCCAUGAAGUCGGAGUCGCUAGUAAUCGCAGAUCAGCAUUGCUGCGGUGAAUACGUUCCCGGGCGAUGUACACACCGCCCGUCACGUCAUGAAAGUAGGGAACCUAGAGAGUGCAGGAUGCGCGGGACUACGAGUAAA
rnacentral:rRNA from 1 species